rnacentral:rRNA from 1 species
CACGUAGGGUGCGAGCGUUGUCCGGAAUUAUUGGGCGUAAAGAGCUCGUAGGCGGUGUGUCGCGUCGGCCGUGAAAACCUGCAGCUUAACUGUGGGCUUGCGGUCGAUACGGGCAUCACUGGAGUUCGGCAGGGGAGACUGGAAUUCCUGGUGUAGCGGUGAAAUGCGCAGAUAUCAGGAAGAACACCCGUGGCGGAAGGCGGCUCCUCUGGGACGG